rnacentral:rRNA from 1 species
UAAGGAAUAUUGGUCAAUGGGCGGAAGCCUGAACCAGCCAUGCCGCGUGCAGGAUGACUGCCCUAUGGGUUGUAAACUGCUUUUGUCCAAGGAAUAAACCUAGAUACGUGUAUCUAGCUGAAUGUACUGGAAGAAUAAGGAUCGGCUAACUCCGUGCCAGCAGCCGCGGUAAUACGGAGGAUCCGAGCGUUAUCCGGAUUUAUUGGGGUUUUAAAGGGUGCGUAGGCGGCCAUAUUAAGUCAGGGGUGAAAUACGGUGGCUCAACCAUCGCAGUGCCUUUGAUACUGAUGGGCUUGAAUCCAUUUGAAGUGGGCGGAAUAAGACAAGUAGCGGUGAAAUGCAUAGAUAUGUCUUAGAACUCCGAUUGCGAAGGCAGCUCACUAA